AGUGAACGCUGGCGGUAGGCCUAACACAUGCAAGUCGAACGGCAGCACAGUAAGAGCUUGCUCUUACGGGUGGCGAGUGGCGGACGGGCGAGGAAUACAUCGGAAUCUACUUUUUCGUGGGGGAUAACGUAGGGAAACUUACGCUAAUACCGCAUACGACCUACGGGUGAAAGCAGGGGAUCUUCGGACCUUGCGCGAUUGAAUGAGCCGAUGUCGGAUUAGCUAGUUGGCGGGGUAAAGGCCCACCAAGGCGACGAUCCGUAGCUGGUCUGAGAGGAUGAUCAGCCACCCUGGAACUGAGACACGGUCCAGACGCCUACGGGAGGCAGCAGUGGGGAAUAGUGGACAAUGGGCGCAAGCCUGAUCCAGCCAUACCGCGUGGGUGAAGAAGGCCUUCGGGUUGUAAAGCCCCUUUGUUGGGAAAGAAAAGCAGCAGGUUAAUACCCCGCUGUUCUGACGGUACCCAAAGAAUAAGCACCGGCUAACUUCGUG
rnacentral:rRNA from 1 species